CACAUAUGCAUUUAAACCUCCUCCGUUUAAAAUUCUCUUCUGUUCGAAAUUAAACUGAUAAAGCCUUUCCAAUUUUCCGUUAACAGAGCAGCGGAAUUCACAGACUGCAGAGAUUCAAUGGCGGCGGCUCUGCAGUAUUUGGAGUCGCUGCGCAAUGCGAACCCGGAGCUUUCCGAUUGGUACGCCGCGCUUUCGGAUCUCUACCAGCGUAAGCUAUGGCACCAGCUCACCCUCAAGCUCGAGCAAUUCGUCGUCCUCGCCGUAUUUCAGCAUUGUUGGGCAAAAGCAUCUACAAUUUUGGCGAACUUCUUGCACAUCCAGUUAUUAAAAGUCUUCUAGGGACUAUUUUUUAGUGGCUAUAUCAUAUUCUGGAAGCAUUCAACUCUGGCGAUUGAGUUCGUUAUCAAGAACUUUGCCGUGUCCAUGGAGCUGCUCUGAAUAGAUCAACAUUUUCUGUUUGAUGGAGAUUAUCUUCAGGUUAAUUAGGAAACUCAUUGCUGUUUUACAAACUGUGUUGCAUAAAAGGAAUUGCUUUGAUAUAUAUCUAGCAAAAUUCUUUAUGCAGUCAUCCAUCUGUGAGACCGAGGAAAUGCUUUCCCGCAUCAUCACAGUUGCCCAGUUUUAUCAUGGACUAGGUCAACACUUUUUUUAUAUAAGAUCCUUAAAAUAUACUGGUAGAUUAAUAAUAAGAAAAGAAAAAGAUGUAAGGAUUUGUUUUUUGAAGACUUUACCUAUGAAAUCCUCGACGACAACAGACAACACAUAUGUGCUGCAUUUGUAAGAGAAUGGUUGCUCAUCUUCGUCGUCCAAGAGCCUCUCUUGAUAGCUACAACUUGGAUUUCUACAAUUAAUGAUUUUAUCGCAAUCUAUUUGUUGAAAACUAUUUUUAACAUCAGCCGCCUUGAGUUGUACGCCGAGGUAGGAUAACAUUGGAGCCAACUCAUUUCCUUCCUCAUUGCACAUUGUACCUUUGAGUUUAAUUCGGUCGGUUCGCAUGUUGAACCAAGCGUCUACCACUUGGACCAUGCGCGUUACAUUUGUCUUCUUCGUGUCAACCUUUAUUUCUUUCAUAAAAUUAUGUAUGCGGUUACAAAUUGUUUGUGGCCAGUUAAUAUUUCUGAACUUCUUUAAAAAGGCACCAUAAACCAUGCACCCCAUUGGAAUCUUCCCUUGGGACUUAACAGAAAGGACAAAAGAAGUCAUGGUGUUAAGAUGUCUUCUGAAAUCAGUCUGGUCGUCCUCGGAUUCUAUGGUCAUUUGUUCAAUUAGUUCAGUCAUUAAUUUCAAAAAAACAGCCCGCCCUGCAUCACUAUCUUUACCAUACUUUUUACAAAGGUUUACAAAAUAGGUUGACAAGGUUGAAACUCUUUCCUCAUCAUAGACUUCUCCUUCACAUGGUAAUCUUGUGAGGUACGCGAUUUUCUCAGCGCACAUUUUAAGAUGACGGCCUUUAAUAAGGAGCGUCUCUGUCUUGCUAUCAUACAAAUCCACUAAUGCUUCAAAAAGCACCAGAUUAUUCUUCUUCUUUAUCGGUGCUCCAAUUAAUUUAUAGAUAUCUGAUUCCUUACAGAUAUAUUUCUUUUCAUUGGCAUUAAUAAAGUCAUCAGCCUCACAAAUUCUUGCUAACCUAGAUAAAUUAGAUCUGCAUUCGAAGUUUUACUGAUCUGAAAUCAAGAAUUUUGAUAUUCAUAUAUGCAAAAUAUAUGGAUAUUUUAACUAGGGAUGUCAAAAUUCUUGAUUUCAGAUCAGCAAAACCUCGAAUGCGAAUCUAAUUUAUCUAGGUUAGCAAGAAUUUGUGAUGCUGAUGGCUUUGUUAAUAAUGCCAAUGAGAAUAAAUUAAUUGGAACACCGAUAAAAAAGAAGAAGAUUCUGGUGCUUUUUGAAGCACUAGUGGAUUUGUAUGAUAGCAAGACAGAGGCGCUCCUUAUUAAAGGCCGUCAUCUUAAAAUGUGCACUGAGGAAAUCGCGUACCUCACAGGAUUACCCUGUGAAGGAGAAGUCUAUGAUGAGGAAAGGGUUUCAACUUUGCCAAUCUAUUUUGUACUCCCUCCGUCCCAUAAUAAGUGGCCACAUUCUUUUCGGCACAGAGAUUAAGAAAUUAAGUGUUAUAUGUUUUAAUAGAGUGUGGCCUACAAUUGUUGACCAAAUUAGUGAGUAAUUGUUGACUUAAUUAAAGUAAUUUUGGCAUUUUUAGAAAGUGGUCUACAAUUGUUGACCAAAUUAGUGAGUAAUUGUUGACUUAAUUAAAGUAAAUUUUUGCCAUUUUUAGAAAGUAGCCACUUAUAGUGGGACAGACGAAAAAGGAAAUGUGGCCACUUAUUAUGGGACGGAGGGAGUAAAAAGUAUGGUAAAGAUUGUGAUGCAGGGCAGGCCGUUUCUCUGAAAUUAAUGACUGAACUGAUUGAACAAAUGACGAUAGAAUCCGAGGACGACCGAAAUGAUUUCAGAAGACAUCUUAACACCAUGACUUCUUAUGUCAUUUUUGUUGAGUCCCAAGGGAAGAUCACAAUGGAGUGCAUGGUUUAUGGUGCCUCUUUAAAGAAGUUCAGAAACAUUAACUGGCCACAAACAAUUUGUAAUCGCAUACAUAGUUUUAUGAAAGAAAGAAAGGCUGACAAGGAGAAGACAAAUGUAACGUGCAUGGUCCAAGUGGUAGUCGCUUGGUCUAACAUGCGAACCGGUCGAAUUAAACCCAAAGGUACAGUGUGCAAUGAGGAAGUAGAUGAGUUAGCUCCAAUGUUAUCCUACCUCGGCGUACAAUUCAAGGCGGUUGAUGUUGAAAAUGUUUUUUAACAAAUAGAUUGCGAUAAAAUCAUUAAUUGUAUAACUCUCAAGAGAGGCUCUUGGACGACGGAGAUGAGCAGCCAUUCUCUUACAAAUGCAACACGUAUGUGUUGUUUGUUAUCGUCGAGGAUUUCAUAGGUAAAGUCUUCAAAAAACAAAUCCUUACAUCUUUUUCAGGUUCUUAUAUAAAAGAAGUGUUGACCCACCCAAUCCAUGAUAAAACUGGACAACUGUGAUGAUGUGGGAGAGCAUUUCCUCGGUCUCACAAAGGAGUCCACGCUACGGGCAACUUCAACCUUUGGCAGGCAUUGUCUAGCAAAGGGGAGAAGAUACUUCAAGGCGAUGCUCUCGAGGAGGAGGAGACUUAGAGUGAAGCAGAUACAAAGAGUAUGAUUAAUCAGGACGAUGCCCCAAAGAAAACAGGUGAAAUGACUACUGCUGGAUCAAGUGUGCAUUUCUCAAUGGAGUGCUCACUGAUGAAAGUGUACGUGGAACAACCUCCAGAAUUUGAGGUUUAUCUCAUCCAAGGAAUCAUUGACCAAGUUGAGGAGGGAACAGUUUAUGCUUCUUAGGUGCAGCCUAGAGUUUCAGGGAUUCCUCAGAUUAAGUCCUUACGCGAUGGAUAAAGUACACGCUGCCUUGCUAUCGGUCGAGGCAGAAACACCAGAUCUCGUUGCAGCUUAGUCCCUGCCACCAUGCUCCAUGGCUCCUUUUGCAGUAGUUGCUACCGAGGCCUCUCGUACCAAUCUCUGCUGCGUAAGCGUCAAGCACUUUACCCUCUAAAGAAGUAGAAUUUUUAUGUUUCCUUGUAAUUAUUUUGCAAGACUAUGAUCAGUAUCAACUUGCCUUAGAAAUUGUCUGUCUGCUGCAUUAAUCAGUAAUGGUUAGGUUAUUGAUGUAUUAUUGGAAAAUGUUAUGAAUUGGCAUUUUAUAUGGUUACACUUUUCUUUAAA